ACUGAAUAGAUACCCAGGUAGUCCAUGCCGUAAACUAUGGAUACUAGCUGUUGGGGGUAUCGACCCCUCCAGUAGCGAAAGCUAACGCGUUAAGUAUCCCGCCUGUGGAGUACGAUCGCAAGAUUAAAACAUAAAGGAAUUGACGGGGACCCGCACAAGCGGUGGAGCGUGUUCUUUAAUUCGAUGCUAAACGAAGAACCUUACCAGGACUUGACAUCCCUUGAAUUACUCCGAAAGGAGUGAGUGCUUUAUUGAGCAAGGUGACAGGUGAUGCAUGGCCGUCGUCAGCUCGUGUCGUGAGAUGUUUGGUUAAGUCCAUCAACGGGCGCAACCCUUAUACUUAGUUGUAUUUUUCUAGGUAGACUGCCCCGGUAACGGGGAGGAAGGGGGGAGU
rnacentral:rRNA from 1 species